GCCCCUAGGUGUAGAGAAUUAUAAGGAAGUUGGAGGUAAACGCCUCACCCAGCACGAUUCCAAGCGUGUUGAGAGGCAUGAUUCAGGCCACAUGGACUGAACACGUUCAGACUCCUACCGGAGGCAGCAGUGGGAAUAUUGCACAUGGGGAAACCUGAUGCAGCAUGCGCGUGUGUGAGAGCUCGGGUGUAAAGCACUUUCAGUCGUGAGAAGCAUAUGCGUAUAGCGCAUGUGUUGACGUUAGCGACAGAGAGCACGGCUACUCCGUGCCAGCAGCCGCGGUAAUACGGAGGGUGCGAGCGUUAAUCGGAAUUACUGGGCGUAAAGCGCAUGCAGGCGGCUUGUUAAGCCAGAUGUGAAAGCCCGGGGCUCAACCUCGGAAUAGCAUUUGGAACUGGCAGGCUAGAGUCUUGUAGAGGGGGGUAGAAUUUCAGGUGUAGCGGUGAAAUGCGUAGAGAUCUGAAGGAAUACCGGUGGCGAAGGCGGCCCCCUGGACAAAGACUGACGCUCAGAUGCGAAAGCGUGGGGAGCAAACAGGAUUAGAUACCCUGGUAGUCCACGCCGUAAACGAUGUCUACUUGGAGGUUGGUGUCUUGAACACUGGCUUUCGGAGCUAACGCGUUAAGUAGACCGCCUGGGGAGUACGGUCGCAAGAUUAAAACUCAAAUGAAUUGACGGGGGCCCGCACAAGCGGUGGAGCAUGUGGUUUAAUUCGAUGCAACGCGAAGAACCUUACCUACUCUUGACAUCCAGAGAACUUUCCAGAGAUGGAUUGGUGCCUUCGGGAACUCUGAGACAGGUGCUGCAUGGCUGUCGUCAGCUCGUGUUGUGAAAUGUUGGGUUAAGUCCCGCAACGAGCGCAACCCCUUUCCUUGUUUGCCAGCACGUACUGGUGGGAACUCCAGGGAGACUCCCCGUGAUAAACCGGAGGAAGGUGGGGAGGACGUCAAGUCAUCAUGGCCCUUACGAGUAGGGCUACACACGUGCUACAAUGGCGUAUACCGAGGGCGGCCAACCGGCGAGAGUGAGCGAAUCCCAGAAAAUACGUCGUAGUCCGGAUUGGAGUCUGCAACUCGACUCCCUGAACUGGGCAUCGCUGGUCAUCGUGGAUCAGAAUGCCACGGUGAAUACGUUCCCCGCCCUUGUACACACCACCCUUCACACCAUCGGAGUGGGUUCCACCAGAAGUAGCGACCUUAGCUUUCCCUCCUGUGUCAGCACCCGGCGCCUCGCGCACGGCGGAACCACGCCCAUAAAGG
rnacentral:rRNA from 1 species